AUGCCCUUAAAAAUGCAAAAAACGCGAUUGCGGCCGAAUGCGCCUCGUAUAUUUCAACGAUUGUAUCGAUUUUUUUAGGUGACUUGGCAACCACGCAAAAAGUCAAUUUCGGUUUUAAGGAACCAUCCUAGUUGCACGUAGUUGUUUAUGCGUUUCCAGUUCUCUCUGUUCUCAAGCAUGAUGUCCACUAGGUUGUCCGGGUUAAGGGUGCUUCCCAGUUCCACUUCCAGCGCAACUCGCUCCUCUAUGAUCUUACUGCACGUGAAAUAAGCGUGUUCCGCGUUGCCCUGUAGCCCUCCACACAGUAAGGGGAAUUAUUUCUAAACGGGACCUUCGAGGUUGAAAAAUCAACUUAACUUGUAUAUGAUAAAAUUUUGUGCACUGUAUAGGAAAAAUCUUCAAUUUUAUGAAAUGAGUUCACUUUUCAUUUCAAGUUCCUAGAUUCGCAAGGUUUUCCAGUUUUUCUGAAGGCAUGUCGAGACCAGUGAUUUUCGAGGUUAUUUUUGGAGUAAUUUUUAUUCAUGACACAUUGCAUCUUUAUGAUUUAAAAUCACAUGGAGUUACAGUUAGUUUCUUAAAAUAUCAAACAGCCUUCAAAAAGCAGAAAAGUCCAAAUAUAUGCAAUAUUUUUCCUCAUUUUGUGAAGGCAUGUGAAAAUGUAACGUCCGCAACAGAAAAGCUACUAAACUUUAUGCCAUUUAACGCAGGAGCCAGUUUAGAAGUUCGUGUUAAGUGAACGAUAGGACACGAUCUUCAUUGAUACUCCGGUAGUGUUAAAACGUAUUUAGAUACUUCAGUUAUCAUGUUAUUCAAAGUCGAAAAAGUGUAACGUCCGCAACGGAGAGGACAUUACAAGGCUCUAGCUAGAGAUCGUAUUUUAAAGAUAGAAACGUGGCUCUACCAUCACCUCAGAUAUUUACUUCGGAAAGACUCUCACAGCUAUUCGUACUGAAUUUAAGAAUGUGUUUGGAUUUGAUAUGUUCAUGUGAAAAUGCCUGGUUUUUGCCAUUUCAAUCCCCUUUGAAUGAAGCAGCCGGAAUGCUCAACUUACUCAAUCUCUUUUGAUGAAAGUUUGAAUACUGUUGUUGUCAAAAACCAACUGGACAUACUGGUUCGCUUUUUUAAUUGAGCGACCCUGCUUGUCGAAACUCGUUAUUUGACAUCAGUCUUUCUUGGACACAUCCAAGCUACAAACCUUUUACCAACAAUCACAAAUGCUCUUGUCAAUUUAAACCUCAGAUUGAAGAAAAUCCAACACGUAAGCACAGAUGCUCCAAAUGUAAAUGUAAAACUGAUGAUGGAUUUAUGCUGUUAUCUGAAAGAUCUGUCUGGUGAAGAGGCUCCAGAGCCGUUUGAAGCAGGAACUUGCAGAAUACAUGCAGUGCAUGGCACAUUCGGCACAGGAAUUGAUGAGACUUACAUGGGCCAUGGGGAAAGACUUUUUUAAAAUGUUCUCGACAAUUUCUUUAUAAAUGGCCAGCUCAAAAGGCAAAUUUUGUUCAUAUGACAGGUUCGGAAAUUUUUCCCUUAAAAUUCUGUCACUGAAUGGGUAGAAAAUUAACCAGUGAUAAAACGACAUCAAGCCUUUUGUUCUAAAACUGAAGUAGAUAAAUUGUAAUCUAAAAAUGGUAAACUGAAUAAAGUAAAAAAAAAUUAUCUGAUGA